UUUGGUUUAUACCAUUUAGGAACGGUAAUUACCGAUGGACCGCUUGGAAUCGGUUUAUGUGUACUAGGUUGAACCAAACAGCAAAGGCCGUUCGAAUAAAAACUUCCGAGCAGGUUAAUGAAAUGACCAAGAACAACACAAGGCAGGUACAAUAUCCCUUAAAGGAAUAAAAACAAUAUAAAUAUAGCGUACCUACCUGUGAUCGGUACAUAGCUUUCCGUAGUACUAAUAGGUGCUACAGUUGAAGUUGGAAUAGGAUUUGUCACCCUUGGAACACAAUAGUAGCCAUCACCUUCAAAGCCUGGAUGACAGUGACAGCUAAAUUGAUUGGUAGCUGGAUCUAUGCUGCAAAUACCGUAUGGAGAGCAAUUAUUGUUCAUAUCGCAAUCUUGACUGGUGACUGGUUGGCAGUUAAGACCAUCACCUAAAUUAAAUUACGAUACUUAUUUGAUAACUUUUUAGGAUUACGUUCGUUCACCUCUAAAUCCAGGAAGGCACCUACAUUCAGCUACUUCACCAGAUUGUACACAUUGUGCGUUUUCCCUACAAGAAAUAUUGGCGCAAGUGUUUACUGGACUGCAUAUUUUGCCAUCUCCUUCGAAUCCUGGAUUACAUAGGCACUGAUAGCUUCCUAGAAUUAAAAAUAAUAAUAUGUUUCAAAAAUGUGCAUUUGCUUGAACUUCUUUCUUUUAGAAUUUUUUUUUAUAGUCUACCACUGUUACAAUCUUCUCUUCUUUAAUACUUUGUGUGCUACGCUACUAGUGUUGCUAUACGUCAAUUUUGAUAACGGAUAAUCAAUCAAUAAAAUCUCAUUGUUUUCGA